rnacentral:rRNA from 1 species
GACGUAGGGGGCGAGCGUUUGUCCGGAAUUACUGGGCGUCAAGCGCGUGUAGGCGGGCUGGUAGGCGGCGUGUGAAAGGUGGGGGCUCAACCCUCAUAGGUCGCGCCGAACCGCCAGUCUUGGGACGGCGGAGGGGCAAGCUGGAAUGGUCGGAGGAGCGGUGAAAUGCGUAGAGCCCGAUCAGAACACCGGUGGCGAAGGCGGGUUGCUGGAGCCGGGCCGACGCUGAGACGCGAAAGCGCGGGGAGCGAACGGG